GAUGAACGCUGGCGGCGUGCCUAAUACAUGCAAGUCGAGCGAACAGAUGAGGAGCUUGCUCCUCUGACGUUAGCAGCGGACGGGUGAGUAACACGUGGAUAACCUACCUAUAAGACUGGGAUAACUUCGGGAAACCGGAGCUAAUACCGGAUAAUAUAUUGAACCGCAUGGUUCAAUAGUGAAAGACGGUUUUGCUGUCACUUAUAGAUGGAUCCGCGCCGCAUUAGCUAGUUGGUAAGGUAACGGCUUACCAAGGCAACGAUGCGUAGCCGACCUGAGAGGGUGAUCGGCCACACUGGAACUGAGACACGGUCCAGACUCCUACGGGAGGCAGCAGUAGUGAAUCUUCCGCAAUGGGCGAAAGCUUGACGGAGCAACGCCGCGUGAGUGAUGAAGGUCUUCGGAUCGUAAAACUCUGUUAUUAGGGAAGAACAAAUGUGUAAGUAACUAUGCACGUCUUGACGGUACCUAAUCAGAAAGCCACGGCUAACUACGUG
rnacentral:rRNA from 1 species